rnacentral:rRNA from 1 species
GACGAACCGUGCGAACGUUGUUCGGAUUCACUGGGCUUAAAGGGCGCGUAGGCGGGCGAUCAAGUCAGGGGUGAAAUCUUUCGGCUUAACCGGAAAACAGCUUUUGAUACUGAUCGUCUUGAGGGAGGUAGGGGCAUGUGGAACUUCCGGUGGAGCGGUGAAAUGCGUAGAUAUCAGGAGGAACACCGAUGGCGAAGGCAGGUCUCUGGGCUGACACUGACGCUCAUGCACGAAAGCGUGGGGAGCAAACAGG